rnacentral:rRNA from 1 species
AUUGAACGCUGGCGGCAGGCCUAACACAUGCAAGUCGAACGAGUGGCGGACGGGUGAGUAAUGUCUGGGAAACUGCCUGAUGGAGGGGGAUAACUACUGGAAACGAUAGCUAAUACCGCAUACCAUCGGAUGUGCCCAGAUGGGAUUAGCUAGUGGUUGGGGUAAAGGCGCACCAAGGCGACGAUCCGUAGCUGGUCUGAGAGGAUGAACAGUCACACUGGAACUGAGACACGGUCCAGACUCCUACGGGAGGCAGCAGUGGGGAAUAUUGCACAAUGGGCGCAAGCCUGAUGCAGCCAUGCCGCGUGUAUGAAGAAGGCCUUCGGGUUGUAAAGUUCUUUCAGUGGGGAGGCGUUACCCGCAGAAGAAGCACCGGCUAACUCCGUGCCAGCAGCCGCGGUAAUAC